rnacentral:lncRNA from 1 species
AGAGGUUGGAGGAGCUGUACAGACUUCCUGCUUGCAUUGAAAUUGUAUUAAAGAGAGGGAGAGAGAGAGAGAGAGAGAGAGAGAGAGAGAGAGAGAGGGAAGAGGAGAAGAGUGUGAGAGAAAGAGAUAAUGUGUGUGUGUGUGUGUGUGUGUGUGUGUGUGUGUGUGUGUGUAAAAGUCAUCUAGAUAGAGUUAGAUUAAUAGAUAGAAGUAUAGAUAGCUUAAAAUAGAUAGUAAAUAGAAGAGAAUUAUUGAUUUCAGGGUAGGACUUAGAAGGGUAAAGCCUCCUAGGGCCAGAGGACAUGUGUUUCAAAAGGCUAAAUUCCACCUUUCUGAAAUUCAGGACACUAAGAUUUAUCGCCAUUAAUGAACGAUUAAGGGGGCAAACCUCUGGACUGGCCACUGGGUUGAGGUUGGUAACCCAGGAGGUUAAUGACCUCAGGGUCAUCCCAGGAAGUAUACUGGAUCUGGAUGAUCAUCAGCCUCAGCGUAGCCUGGCAGAGCUGCCUAGCACUGCUCAUGGCAAGAGGAAGCCAGGCCAUCUUCCAUGCCUUAUAAGCAGUGCUGGCAAGGGCCAUGCCCCUGACCCUAAUCCAAGCUUGUCAAUAGUGUCCAAAAGAAUCUUUCUGGGCGAAUCUGUGGUCGAAGGCCUCCAGGACAGGCAGACAUUUUUUGGGCCCAGUGGCUUGCCAAAGAAUAGCCCCAAGGCAACAGCAGGGGAGGCCUAAGUGAAGAAGAGGACAAUGGAGUUGCUUAACAAGGCUAGAAAGCAAACAGAAAAAGCCUCAAAUCUAAAAGACAUCAGACAACUCCUGAAGCAAGAGGUGUUUAUGAACAACACAUAUCCAUGCAAGAAACAUCUGAAACAGCAACCAUGGAGCCUGGAGGAGUGGAGGAGUGGCCCCCUAGGGGGAGACAACACAGGACUCAUACAUUCACAAGAACCUUUCAGGUGCUGUGAAAGUCUUGCCCUAGAAGAAAAGGCAGUCUUCCUCAGAAGACAGAAGGUACAAUCCUCUCCUCAGGACAUUCAUCAGGGCACUCCGGAAAAAAACAACAUAAAACCUAAGUCGUGGCCAAAGGCAGAAGGCUGGGACCACAAGGUCCAGGAAACUCCAGUAAUUCUUACAGUUCAGGGCCAUAGUUAUGUAUCACAUGUACAUCCGUUUCCUCAGGACACUCAUCAGAGCCCUCUGGAAAGAAACAACAUAAAACCUAAGUCGAGGCCAAAGGCAGAAGGUUGGGACCACACAGUCCAGGGAACUCGAAUAGUUCUUACAGUUCAGGACCAUAGUUAUGAUUCACAGGUGUCAAAAUAUCCUAGUGCUGCAAAGUACCAGAUGAACUUUCUUAGAAAAUGAAGUAUUACUUAAUAAGUGCCAUGCAAUCUACAAUGUAUGAGUAGGCGUGAGUACUGAUGCGAUAAGGCAGUGCUAAAGGCCUGGCCAGCCCUUGAGGGCAAGGUGGGCUUGGGAGGACCACAGGCAUAGCAGCUGUUUGUCAGGCAUCUCAGAAUGACAUCAUCUGCCCGUGGACACCACACUUUAGGAUGCCACAAGAAGGAGCAGGCACCCUUGCCUUGAAGAUACUCAUUUCUUCUAAAUGUGAUGACCUCAUAGAGACCAUUCAGCAUCUGGAAAGCUGAGAAACAAUGGGGCUGUGCUGAAAUAUUUCAUUCCAGAGAUGGGCGAUGUACUUUAUUGAAGAGAGGAGGAGCCUAGAGAGAGUAGACACUUUUUCUGCAUCCUGCUCGGUAAAGUAAUAACAGGUACACUAGAGGGU